rnacentral:tRNA from 1 species
GGCAGUGUGGCUCAGUGGGUAGGGCAUCAGACUGGGACUUGAAGACCUGGAUUCUAUUUCCAGCUCUGCUA